rnacentral:rRNA from 1 species
UGGGGAAUUUUGGACAAUGGGGGCAACCCUGAUCCAGCCAUGCCGCGUGAGUGAAGAAGGCCUUCGGGUUGUAAAGCUCUUUCGGCCGGGAAGAAAUCGCACAGGCUAAUAUCCUGUGUGGAUGACGGUACCGGCAUAAGAAGCACCGGCUAACUACGUGCCAGCAGCCGCGGUAAUACGUAGGGUGCGAGCGUUAAUCGGAAUUACUGGGCGUAAAGCGUGCGCAGGCGGUGAUGUAAGACAGAGGUGAAAUCCCCGGGCUCAACCUGGGAACUGCCUUUGUGACUGCAUCGCUGGAGUACGGCAGAGGGGGAUGGAAUUCCGCGUGUAGCAGUGAAAUGCGUAGAGAUGUGGAGGAACACCGAUGGCGAAGGCAGCCCCCUGGGUCGAUACUGACGCU